UGGAUCUCAAAACACAUCGAGGCCUCUCAUCAAUUUUAUUUUAUCACACAUCACUAUAUACCCAUGUUCUACCCAACAUAUUUGUAGAUAAAAAUACUUAUACAGUUUAAAACUUGUAUAAAACAUCAACUCAACAGUCACCUCAAAUAAACAAUUAAUAUAUUUACACAUAGCACGUAUUAUAAGGUAAAUACUUCAUAUCUAUGUGUAAAAUGAAAGUGACUAUACACUCACAUGAUUUGAUGAUAAUCGGGCAACAAUUCGUUUCCUAAAACGAUCGUUUCUAAUAAAACCGGGAGUUUUAUUGAGAAACCGGGCUUUGCAAAGGUCGGGAUUCGAAACCGAAAAGAUAAAUUUUCCGGGCUUCUUGGGCACUUCGUGGAGUAUUCCGGGGCUUAUAAUCGAUACCGGGGCUUUGGGGGAUGUUAAUAUGAAGAAAAUAUGGGAAAAGGGGUUAAAAGUGGCAAAUUUCCAAAGUUACACGGGAGGUCUCCCACCCUUCUAUUUAUAGGGGCGAGGCUUCUGAUCCGACGGUUAGAAAGAAUCCACGCGUCGCAGAUCCGAAGGCUCGCAGGGAGGGCUCGCACGUGGGCUGCGCAUGGCUCGCACAUGGCUCGCACGUGGCGCGUUUUGAGCGAGGGUGACGUGGCAGCUCGUGACUAUGCGAAUUUUCUCGAUUUUCGUGCCAAAACUUCUAAAAUCCAUAACUUUCGCAUACGAGCUCCGUUUUUGACGUUCUUUAUAUGCACGCGUGGCUAAAAUUACGCUCUACAACUUCCGUUUAGACUUUGUCGGCUAAUUUUGACUUUAAUUUUUAUAUUACUAUUUUUAACAAACCGGGACACGAAAUCCGUUAAAAAUUUAUAACUUCUUCAUCCGACGUCCAUUUUUGUCAGACUUUUUAUCGUUGUGCUACUAAUGAAGAGACCUUCAAUUUUCAUUUAGGUUGUGUCGGCUAAAAAUCACUCGAUCUAAAGUUCGAGUUUUUAGCUGUUUACUGCUAAGCUGAAACUUCGAAAAAUCAUAACUUCCUCAUACGAAGUCAAAUUUGGGCGUUCUUCUUAUCGAACUUCUCGUUUUAACGAAUACUACAAAUUUCGUUUAGAUUACUAAGGCUAAAAAGUAGUUUAUCAAAAACUCACUCUUUACGACAUUCAGCGCCAUGCCGGUUUCGUCGCGAAACUUCGAUAGGUCAUAACUUCUUCGUUAUAACUUGGAUUUUGGUAUUAUAUCCCCGAAAUCCUUGUUUUGACCGCUACAACUUUAUGUAAAGAUAUCGGGCUUAUCUCACACUUUAAUUUUGACGCUUAUUUUUAUUAUUAAUUAAUUAAACGCUAAUAAUUAAGCAUAAAACACAUAGUUCACAUAAUAUUCACAUAAUUCCUUUUCAUUUCUUCAAAAUGAGUUACAAAGGUUAACCUAGACUAUCACCUCAAUAUAAAUGCCUAGGCUAGAAACACGAGUGUUACAAUUCUCUCCCCCUUAGGAUGAUUCCGUCCUCGGAACCAAACAACUGCGGGUAGCGACUCAUCAUGUCACUCUCCGUUUCCCAAGUGAGAUUUGGUCCAUCCGUAUGUUUCCAGCGCACAAGCACUAAAUUAACCAUCUUGCGUCGCAACUUCAUAGUCUUACGGUCAACGAUUGCCUCAGGUUCUUCGAUCAACCUCUUGUUUUCGUCCAACCUUAACUCAGAAAUCGGAAUUAUGUCGGACACAUCUCCCGUGAACUUUCUCAAAUAACACACAUGAAAGGUGUUAUGAAUACCCUCCAGUUCUUCCGGUAACUCUAGCUUGUAAGCUUGAUUCCCGAUCUUCUGAAGAACUUUGAACGGUCCAAUAAACCUUGGACUCAACUUUCCUCGUUUCCCAAAUCUUAUAAGUCCCUUCCACGGCGAGACUUUAAGUAAAACCGAAUCUCCAACUUCAAAGGUUAUCGGUUGUCUUUUCUUGUCAACAUAACUUUUUUGUCGAUCUUGAGCAGCUAGCAUCCUUUACCUUAUCACUUUCAACUUUUCAGCAGUCUGAUGGACUAUUUCAGGUCCCAUAAACUGCUUUUCCCCAGCUUCCAGCGAACAUGAUGGCGUUCGACACUUUUGCCCAUACAAAGCGUGAUAAGGUGUCAUCUUAAUGCUUGAGUGGAAACUAUUAUUAUAGGAGAAUUCUACUAGAGGUAAGUGUUCAUCCCAGUUACCUUGGAAUUCUAGGGUACAUGCUCUCAGCAUAUCCUCCAAUGUUUGAAUCGUUCGUUCGCUCUGACCAUCGGUUUGCGGAUGGUAAGCUGUACUCAAACACAACUUGGUACCCAAUUCCUCUUGUAGACUCCUCCAAAACCUUGAGGUAAAACGGCUAUCACGAUCGGACACAAUCGUUAACGGAACACCGUGAAGCCUCACAAUUUCCUUCACGUAAGAAUUCGCAAGUUUAUCCAUAGACCAUUUCUCUUUGGCUGCUAUGAAAUGCGCACUCUUAGUGAAGCGAUCAACGACCACCCAAAUCAUGUCGUGACCGUUCCUUGUUCUGGGCAGUUUAGUCACAAAAUCCAUGGUGAUGUCUUCCCAUUUACCCAUGGGUACGGGUAAAGGUUCUAAACUCCCAUACGGUUUCUGAUGUUGUGCCUUAACCCUAGCACAAGUUACACACUCGGCCACAUACUUAGCAACAUCGAGCUUCAUCGUCGGCCACCAAUAAUAAGGCUUUAGAUCCCUAUACCUUUUUGUACUGCUGGAAUGAAUCGAGUACAUGGUCUUGUGAGCUUCUUCCAUCAGAAGAUCUCUUACUCCGCCCGUCUUAGGUACCCAAAUCCUAUCUUGGAAUACCUUCAACCCUUGGUUGUUUGUAUCGAAUACUAACUUUUUGCCCGAACGUUCUUCCUUUCGGUCAUUUUUCUCUAAAGCUUCCUCUUGAUCUUUCUUUAUACUUUCCACAAUUGUCGAGACAACUUCAAUUCUCAACGCUCUUGGCCUUUUCUUUUCAAGGUUUACCUUCCGACUGAGAGCAUUAGCAACAACAUUUGCUUUACCAGGGUGGUAAAGUCUCUCACAGUCGUAGUCUUUGAGUAACUCUAGCCAGCGUGGUUGCCUCAUGUUCAAUUCCUUUUGAUUAAAGAGAUAUCGGAGACUCUUAUGAUCAGUGAAAAGUUUGCAUUUAGUACCAUAAAGAUAAUGCCUCCGUAUCUUUAAGGCAAAUACUACCGCUACCAACUCCAGAUCAUGAGUGGGGUAGUUCUUUUCAUGCUCCUUCAAUUGCCUCGAUGCAUACGCGAUCACUUUAUCCCUUUGGGUCAGAACACAACCUAACCCAACUCCAGAUGCAUCGCUAUAAACUGCAAAGUCAUCAACUCCUUCAGGCAAUGAAAGAAUCGGUGCUUCACACAAUCUCUUCUUCAACUUCUCAAAGGCUUCCUUAUGCUUCUCAUUCCAAGCAUAAGUGGCUCCUUUGUGGGUCAAAGCUGUUAAUGGAGUAGCAAUCGAAGAAAAGCCUUGGAUAAACCUUCGGUAAUAUCCAGCUAAUCCUAAAAAGCUUCGAAUCUCCGUAGGGCUUUUUGGUUGUUCCCACUUCAUCACAGCUUCAAUCUUUGCUGGGUCAACCAUUAUUCCUUCUUGGUUGACCACAUGACCUAAAAAUUGGACUUCUUGAAUCUAAAAUUCACAUUUGGAGAACUUUGCAUAUAACUUCUCCUUUUUUAGGACUUCUAGCACUUCACGCAGAUGCUUUUCAUGCUCCUGCUUGCUUUUCGAAUAAAUCAAGAUGUUGUUUAUGAAUACUAUCACGGAUUUAUCUAGGAAUGGUUUAUAAACCCGAUUCAUCAAAUCCAUGAAAGCUGUUGGGGCAUUGGUUAGUCCGAACGACAUAACCAGAAAUUCAUAGUGUCCAUAUCUUGUUCUAGACGCAGUCUUUUCGAUAUCCUGCUCUCUCACCUUUAGUUGAUGGUAUCCCGACCUAAGAUCGAUCUUCGAGAAAUAGCUCGAACCCUGCAACUGGUCGAACAAGUCAUCGAUCCUUGGCAACGGGUACUUGUUCUUUAUCGUCACUUUGUUCAGCUCUCUGUAAUCGAUGCACAUUCUCAUGCUCCCGUCUUUCUUCUUUACAAAUAACACAGGGGCUCCCCAGGGCGAUGAACUAGGUCGAAUGAAACCUUUGUCCAAUAACUCCUAAAGUUGUUUCAUAAGUUCUUUCAUCUCUGUUGGUGCUAAUCGAUAUGGUGCUUGCCAUUUUGCCUCUUUCACGUAAGAAUUGUCCAUUGCCUCUUUCCAUUUUGCAGACUCCGGGCCUGCCAUGGCUUCCUUAUAGCUAUUAGGUUCAUCAAGAUUUAUUAGUGUACCUUCACUAAUAUACGUGUCCCCUUCGGUAGUAAUAUGAAAAACCAUAGAACUGGGGUUGAACUCUAACUCUAUCGGAACGUCUAAGAGGUAAGGAUUUGUCAAUCGGUUCAACUGGAGUUUCCUCCUCGGGUUGAGUGCCAGCGGUAGAGGUUCCUUCAUCUAUCGACUCUUGAAUCUCUUCAAGUUCGAUUUGCCUCCCACUGUCUCCUUGGCUUAUGAGUUCUCGCUCUCGGAAAACUCCUCUCCUCGCAACGAAGACAACAUUGUCCUUCGGUCUAUAGAAGAGAUAUCCAAAGGAUGUCUGCGGGUAGCCGAUGAAAAUACAUCGCUCACUUCGAGGUUCAAGCUUGUCGUGAGUAUCUCGUCUUACGAAAGCCUCGCAACCCCAAACCUUGAUAUGUGCCAACGAGGGAGCUUUCCCUGUCCACAUCUCGUGAGGUGUUUUGGCAACCUUCUUAGUAGGGACUCGGUUAAGGAUAUGGGCGGCAGUCUCUAAGGCAUACCCCCAAAAAGAGAUAGGUAGUGAAGCACGACUCAUCAUAGAGCGAACCAUAUCCAAUAAGGUUCGAUUACGCCUUUCUGCCACACCAUUCAACUGCGGUGUCCUAGGAGGCGUCAAUUGCGAAACUAUUCCACACUCCUUGAGAUAAUCGUGGAAUUCAAGACUUAGGUACUCUCCUCCUCGAUCGGAUCGAAGCAUCUUGAUUUUCCUGCCCAAUUGAUUCUCCACUUCAUUCUUGAACUCUUUGAACUUUUCAAAGGUUUCUGACUUUUGCUUGAUUAAGUAGAUAUACCCAUAUCUACUAUAGUCAUCGGUAAAAGUCACAUAGAAGCGGUUCCCAUCCUUCGUGGUUGAUCUAAACGGUCCACAUACAUCGGUAUGUAUUAGGUCCAAUAGACCCUCGCCCCUUUCACAUGUACUCGUGAAGGGUGACUUAGUCAUCUUUCCAAGCAAACAAGACUCGCAUGUGUCAUCUUCCCUAAGGUCGAAUGACUCCAACACUCCAUCCUUUUGGAGUUGGGCUAUGCGUUUCUUGUUGACAUGUCCAAGACGACAAUGCCACAAGGAUGCUUUAUCCAUACUAGUGGAAGAAUCAAUAUUCAAAACAUCAUUUCCUAAGUUAUCAACAAUCAUAACGGUUUCAUAUAUUCCAUUACAUGGUAUAGCUUCAAAGUAAAAGACACCAUUUAGAUAAGCCAAAAUAGAACCAUUCUCAUUAUUAAAAGAAAAUCUAAAUCCUUGUCUAUAUAAACCAUGAAAUGAAAUGAUGUUUCUAGCCAUUUCUGGCGAAUAGCAACAAUUGUUCAAAUCUAAAACUAAACUAUUCCUAAGCACUAAGGAAUACACUCCAAUCUUGGUCACAGGCGACGAUCUUCUGUUCCCCAUGAUUAGAUUGAUCCUUCCUUGCUCCACAUCCCUACUUCUUCUUAGUCCCUGCACAUUAGAACAAAUGUGAUAACCACAACCGGUAUCAAGAACCCAAGAAAUAGCAUGAUUAGAAUCGUUAGAUUUGAUUGUAUAUAUACCUGCGAAAGAUGGCUUGAUCUUUCCUUCUUUGAUUGCUUGCAGGUAAUCCGGGCAGCUUCUCUUCCAAUGUCCUAUCUUGUGGCAGUGGUGGCACUCUGCCUCCUUCGGGUUAGAGCAGGGCUUGGCGGGAUCAACUUUGGUCCCACUAGAAGAGGCACCAUCUCGGGCUUUCACCUUGCGAUAGUUCUUCGAUGAAGCUUUCCUCUUCUUUCCCUUCCCUUGUCCAAUAGCCAAGACAGGAGCAGCGGGCGGAUUGGGAGUAGGUGCAACAGACUUGUCUUUGAAGUUGCUCUCAGCAACCCUCAAGAGACCUUGGAGCUUGCUUAGGGUGACCUCUUCUUUGUUCAUGUGGUAGGUCAUCCUAAAUUGGUUGUACAUCGGAGGCAAAGAGUGAAGCACCAUGUCGAUCGCCAAGUCUUCACCGAAGUCAACAUUUAACUUGCGAAGGCGGUCGACAUACCUUUGCAUCUUUUGCAAGUGCACGGUAAGAGAUUCUCCAUGACCCAUCUUCGCGGAAAUCAUGUUAGUGAAAAUCUCGUACCUCUCUUGUCUCGCGUUUUGGUGGUACCUCUCCAAUAAGUCUUGAUGCAUCUCGUACGGGUACAUGUCCUCGUAGGACUUUUGGAAUUCGGAGUUCAUGGUGGCGAUCAUGAUGCAAUGUACCUUCGUUGCAUCUCGCUCAUGAGUUUCAAAGGCGGUGAUUUCGGCGGGAGUAGCAAUUUCGGGGUUGAUUUUCUCGAGCUUCUCAUCGAGGACAUACUCCUUAUCCUCAUAGCGAGCAAUGGUGCGAAUGUAUCUUAUCCAUUCGCUAAAGUUCGUUCCAUCGAAGGUGACCUUUUGGCAAAGGCUCAUCAACGUGAAAGAACUAGCAGCAGCGUUGUUUGCGUUCGACAUCUACAAUUAGAAAAGGACAAAGAUAGAUUAGAAUAAGAAUCCCUAAUUAUCACCCAAUAAGAAAAUUAGGGCUAGGAUCCAACAAUAACAUUUACAUACUAGAAAAGGGAUGCCGUAAUCUAACAUGCAAAUAAAUUGAAGGUAAGUGAAUGACGAUUCACUAAUUCUCCAUCACAAAACUUAAACUAUUAGUCCUAAGUGUUUUUGAGAAUUCCUAGGUUCGGAUGAGAUUCAUUGAAACUAUUCAAUGGCAUGUUUAAAUCUCGAUAUGCCCCUCUUGUUUGUGACUGGGAUGCCGAGGAUCACAAAGCGGGUGUGAAUUACCAUGCAAAUUCACAUGGUGCCUUCAUUGUAACAAUCACCUAUUCGAUGUGCCGGUAAACCACACACGCUCCAUCGAACUAUGAUAAACAAUGAAUCACCCUUUGCCACCUUCGCUUAGAACCAAUUAGUGUGCCGGUAAACCACACACGCUCCACUAACAUCUUAGCAAGGUGCAAAGUGUAAUUUCAUGGGAUUGCAUCAAUUCACUUUUCCUAAAGUAACUAGGAUUGGGAAAUUUUAAAAAAAUGUGUAGUUACUUUAUAUUUCUUAUUAUACUUUUAAUGAGAGGAUGAGGUUGCCCUAUCCUACCCGUUCGGCUAACGACCCUCCACCAAUCAAGCAAGCGGUGGGUGUGAGUGUACACCCAUUAAGCGCCAUUUUAUAGGCCGCAACCUUAUACCCACCUUAUAGAUCGGCUUCGUGAAUGAGGCCUACUAACGGUAAGACUAGCAUUUAGUUAUACAUAUAUAUAUUAUUCUAGUAAUAUCAUAUUAGUAUAGGGUUGUAUUUUAAAACUUUUAAAAUCUAGGGUUUGAAAUUUAAGUUGUCUAAAUUAAAACUUUUAAUCACAAAAGUAAAUUUCAAAACAUGAGGGUAGGUUUUAAACAUUUAAAACAUGGAGGAUCAAAUAACAAAUAAUUCCAAUUAACAAUUAAUAUCCUAAUUAUCUAUAUUUGAUUUAUUCAAGAUUUCUUUUAAAGAUAAUUACCAAAAUAAUCAAAAUAAUUAAUUAAUUAUCAUAUAAGGAAAUUAAAUAUUUAAUUAGUUGAUAAUUACCUUUAACUAGAUCAAGAUAAUAGUUAUAUUUAUCAGAAAAACGAAUUAAUGUUGAUCUAAUUAGUUUAUGGUAAGUUAAGAUAAGAUAAACACAAAGAAAUCCCGAAUCUGGCCAUUCCUGACGCCUGGACUCGCCGAGUGCACAAAUGGACUCGCCGAGUCAGGCCUACUCGCCGAGUCCACUUUGAGACUCGCCGAGUCCAUGACUCAGAAACCAAAAAUUCGAAUUUUGCAGGUUUGUUUCAGUUAAUCAAGCAACAAUUUACAGAAAACCAAGCUAGGCUCUGAUACCACUGAUGGGUUUUAGCCAUAAGAACUUUCCUAUGUGCGCAUGCAAAACCCUAAUGCUUGGAUCUAGGCUUUCUAAUUAAACAUGCUUUGAAUCCAAGACUUCUAAUGACUAAUUAGGUAUAAGAACAAUACUAAAUCAGAUCUAGAAUCAUACCUUUGAAUCUCUUGUUUGAUCUUGUUGUCUUGGAGCUCUAGAGUCACAAUUGUCACUUCUCUAAUGGCUUACAAACACCAAAUAAAAAGGAGGAUGAUUUGGGAGAGAGGAGAGGGGAGGAAUUCGGCCAGAGUUCUCUUGCUUUUUCAGAAGUGUCGAAUUCCCUAUGCCAUGGGGUCUAUUUAUACUUGUAGAUUCCUUAAUGAUUACAGAUAAGUCCCUAUCAGAUAAUCUUCUCUUAAGGCUAUCCAAAUCCAUUCCUAGAUAACUCUAAUGGACGAUUUUAGCUAUCCUAAUCCUCUUAGAAUUCGUCCAUAGUAUAUCCAAAUGGAUUUACAGUUUAAAGCUUAACUAUCAAACAAUUGACAGUUUAUACCCCUUUAUUUAAUUAAUCUCUUUAAGUCACCAAAUUAAUUCUAAUUAAUUCUAUGACUUAUAUUAAUCAAAUAACAAAAUUAUUAUUCAUUAUAUUAUUCCCAUAAUAUAUUAAUAAUAUUUAUUCUCUCUUAAUAAAUCAUCCUAUCAAGUUGCUAUGGUGAAGGCAACCCAAAAGGACCAUGCACAACCAGGUCAAAUACUUGCCUAAUAUAGUUGCAGCCUUAGACACUAUUCCAACAACAAGUCAAUACGAAAUUCUACUUGUCAAUCAGGGGGCAAUCCGGGAAGAUCUUCAGGAAAGACUUCAGGAUAAUCACACACCACCAAAAUACUCUGCACCUCCUUCUUUUCCAUCUUAGCAUCGAUCACGAACGCUAGAUAUGAUUUACAUCCCUUGGCCAAACACUUUUUGGCUUUCAUUAAGGAAAUGAUUCUAGAAUUUACUCUGGGUUUGUCUCCAUACACCAUAAACGACUCCUUCCCUGGCGGGUUUACUUUUACUAUCUUCUUUCUACAUAAUAUUUCUGCAUCGUUGGCGCUAAGACAAUCCAUUCCUAAAACUAUGUCGAAUCCAUUUAACUUGAUAGGAAAUAAUUCCUCGUGGAACUUAUUCCCAUCGAAGUCAAUGAGGAUGUUUUUCAUACGAUGGCUAACAGGUACAAACUUGCCACAGGCAAUCUCUACUAAUAAAGCAUUAACUAGCUUAUCUAUAGGCAAAGCUAGCUUUUUACCAAAUUCAUGCGAUAUAAAGGAGUAAUUGGCUCCAAAAUCAAACAAAAUUUGGGUAGGCAGUUCGUUUACAAGAAAGGUACCUGAAGCGACAUCGACUUCUUCUUUUUCAGCUUCAAGUGUCAUCUGAAAGGCUCUCGCCUUCGGCUUUGGUGGUAGAUUGGGCUUUGCUGCAUCCUUCCUCUUUGGACAGUCUUUAAGCACAUGCCCUAAUUCAUGGCACUCAAAACAUACCCUCUUGUCAGACAGACACACGUUAGCAUAAUGCCUAGUCUUUCCACAUUUGAAGCAAGUCACCUCCUCACUACAUUUCCCAGAGUGCUUUUUCUUGCACUUCUCACACCAUUUCGCUUCACCUCCUCCUCCUCCAAACUUCUUGGACUUAGAAAAUUUUAUUUUCUUGUUGGAACCUAAAGUUCCUACAAAUUUUCUCUUUUCACCAACUUCUGACCUCUCCAGACCCUUCUCUCUGAUCUGAACCUCAACAUUCUUAGCAGCCCAGAUGGCAGCUUUCAAAGUGGUUGCUUGCUUAACCAUCGGACCAAAGUCCGCUGGUAAUCCGAGGGCAAACUUGUUGACCUUAGAGAGUUCAGUUAGAACUAGAUGAGGAACAAGCUUCAUCUUUUCCAUAAAACUAGCAGCGUAUUCAGUAACGCUCAUCUUUCCCUUCUUUAAAUUCUGGAACUCAUUGUUGAUUUCCAGAAGAUCCUGCUCAGAGCAGUACUGCAAUUUCAGUUGUACCACAAAAUCUUCCCAAGACAUCUUACUAGCUUCACCCUUGGGCAUCGAAUCAGCUAGUAACUUCCACCAGCUCAACACACCAGACUUUAACAGAGGAAUUGCAAGUGCGGUCUUUUGUUUGUUGCUGCACUCACAACUUUCAAACAUCGUCUCCAUUUCGGAGAUCCAAUUCAUGACUUCCACCGGUGUCGGACUUCCAGAUAGACACGACGGUUUAGAUGCCAUGAAAUCUUUGUAUUUGCAUCCGCGUCCAUCAACUCCUCCAUCCUGGUUGUUUUGUCUAACUAUCGGUGGGUUGGCUUGACCAAGAGUCCCACUGUAGUUCCCUCCUACUGAUUGCCCUUCAUUCAAUACGGGCUGUUCAACAGGCAUCGUAGUCUCUUCCCUAUGUUGUUGUAGUAAUCGCCUUGUCUCCUCCAUUUGGCGAUCUAACAUCAUUUGCAUCAUUGCUUGUACCCCAGCCAUCGUCAUUGGCUCAGGUGCAGCUCCUACAACAGGUACUUGCUCAACUACUUGAGGUUGAGGCUGUUGAUCCCUGUUUCCGUUUGCAUUUGCAGCUCCACUACGAGUUCUGGCCAUUACAAUCUAUAUAACGAAUAAGGCGAAUUUAGGUCUUUAUCCUUGUUAGACAUGUCAAUUCCCUUAUCACUCCGAAACGUUUACAUGUUAGUUCUAAUCUCGUAAUCAUACGCUUAGAAUCCUACACACAUAAGGUUUCCAGAUCCGGUCGGCAACAGACCAUAGAUCCGAACAAAUAAUGGCACACAUGGCAAACACAUAGCAUUUAGCACAUAAGGGCAUUUUAGGCAUCUUCCCUAAAAUAAACUAGUGCUCGUGUCUAAAAUAUGGUAGACACUCAUCUCACAAUCAUCACUUAGCAUUCUAAGUUCAAGUCUAGAAAUUCUACAAUUUCUUAGUUCGCUUAAACUAAUGCUCUGAUACCAACUGUGACAUCCCCUAAUUUCUCGGCCAGAAAAGACCGAUUUAAUUUAUGCUUUUUAAAAUAAAAUCAGAGAAAUCUUUUUAAAAGAUGUUGCGGAAUUGGUCCCCAAACAAAAUAUGAUAAAAGUUUAUCAAAACCCUUCAUUAAGAAGGUAUAUGUUUUCCAUAUAUAUAUAUAAACCUCGGGAUGUCAUGUUCCGAUACAGAUCAAAAGCAUAAACAAGACAUUAUAAGCCUUUCAACAGUUAUUUACAACUACUGGCCUAUAAUCCAAAAAUCUCUCGUCGUCCUCCGACUAUGCUCGGGGUCCACUACCUGUAACAUAAAAAGCUGAGUGUGUCAGGCUUGGGAGCCUGGUGAGCAUAUAGGGUUUUCAACCCACAGUAAUAAUAAACUUAUUAAGUUCACCAAUCAACAAUAACCCUGAUUACCCGUUCUAGUUAUCCUCACUUUACGUCCCUAAACACUUUUCACAAGCCUAGCCUAAAGAAUAUCAUCAUCGGGAUGGACACUACUGCUAAGGGGUUUCCUCAGCCAUACAUGUCCUUAAGGCAACCAUGAGGGGGAUGGAGUACGCCAAUGAACAUUUAAUUCAUCAACACCUACAAGUUGCGAACCUGCUAGUGUUCCACUGGACUAUCUAGAAAGUCCGUGGUCGUCAUCUAUACUUCGCUAGAUGACUACAACAACAACAACAACAUCAACAUCGAGGCCUCUCACCAUUUUAACACACAUCAACUAUUUCAUCUACCCAUGUUCUACCCAACAUAUUUUGUAGAUAAAAAGCAUAUACAGUUUAAAACUUGUAUAAAANGAUCUCAAAACACAUCGAGGCCUCUCAUCAAUUUUAUUUUAUCACACAUCACAAUCUACCCAUGUUCUACCCAACAUAUUUGUAGAUAAAAAUACUUAUACAGUUUAAAACUUGUAUAAAACAUCAACACAACAAUCACCUCAAAUAAAUAAUUAAUAUAUUUACACAUAGCACGUAUUAUAAGGUAAAUACUUCAUAUCUAUGUGUAAAAUGAAAGUGACUAUACACUCACAUGAUUUGAUGAUAAUCGGGCAGCAAUUCGUUUCCUAAAACGAUCGUUUCUAAUAAAACCAGGAGUUUUAUUGAGAAAUCGGGCUCUGCAAAGGUCGGGCUUCGAAACCGAAAAGAUAAAUUUUCCGGGCUUCUUGGGCACUUCGUGGAGUAUUCCGGAGCUUAUAAUCGAUACUGGGGCUUUGGGGGAUGUUAAUAUGAAGAAAAUAUGGGAAAAGGG
rnacentral:lncRNA from 1 species